CCCUUAGAUGUCCUGGGCUGCACGCGCGCUACACUGAUGUGUCCAGUAAGCACCUAACCUAUUCCGAGAGGAGCGGGUAACCUUAGCAAAGCACAUCGUGAUGGGGAUAGAUUAUUGCAAUUAUUAGUCUUGAACGAGGAAUUCCUAGUAAGCACAAGUCAUCAGCUUGUGUUGAUUACGUCCCUGCCCUUUGUACACACCGCCCGUCGCUCCUACCGAUUGAAUGUUCCGGUGAGCUCUUCGGACUGCGCGGUCUGCAUUUUCUGCGUUCCGUGCGGAAAGUUGUGCAAACCUUAACAUUUAGAGGAAGGAGAAGUCGUAACA
rnacentral:rRNA from 1 species